CCAGACUCCUACGGGAGGCAGCAGUGAGGAAUAUUGGUCAAUGGUCGGGAGACUGAACCAGCCAAGCCGCGUGAGGGAGGAAGGUACAGAGUAUCGUAAACCUCUUUUGUCAGGGAACAAAGACUGGGACGCGUCCCCGGAUGAGUGUACCUGAAGAAAAAGCAUCGGCUAACUCCGUGCCAGCAGCCGCGGUAAUACGGAGGAUGCGAGCGUUAUCCGGAUUUAUUGGGUUUAAAGGGUGCGUAGGCGGAAUGCCAAGUCAGCGGUAAAAUCGCGGGGCUCAACCUCGCUCCGCCGUUGAAACUGGUUUUCUUGAGUGAGCGAGAAGUAUGCGGAAUGCGUGGUGUAGCGGUGAAAUGCAUAGAUAUCACGCAGAACUCCGAUUGCGAAGGCAGCAUACCGGCGCUCAACUGACGCUCAUGCACGAAAGUGUGGGUAUCGAACAGGAUUAGAUACCCUCGUAC
rnacentral:rRNA from 1 species